rnacentral:lncRNA from 1 species
UGUUUCUCUCAUUUCUUAAAAGUACUACGGACUUGUAAAUCAUAGUAUUCUCGUGUUGCAGGAAUAAGUGCCCAUCACAUUCCUUACACAAAGCCACAACUAAAACUUUGGUGUACCAUGAUUUGUUUAAAGCAACUCGCCAUUCAUCGCCAUUUUCACCCCAAACACACUAAAGCAUCCAUCUCCAGGAAACUGGUAUUUUUAUUGAUUACUUUAUGGCUGAUAAAGCUAUUAUCUAACAAAAUUAUAAUUUAUUGGUGUCAUCUCAUACUCAACUCAGAUUUCAAUUUCCCAUAAUCAGCGUCUAAAACCCUCGUUUCGGUUGCCCUAGGGCGCCACGUGCUUUUUUGCUCCUGUUAAACUCACUGUAACUGAAGUAGUCAGAGGUGGCUUCAUUGAUAGUUUAGUUCCUGGCCACGUAAUUAACAUAGCCAUUGUAGAAGACGCCGAAAGAUGCGUACGUGUUGUUAAAGGCCGGGUGAAGUCGCCAUCCUCCCCUCCCGCGCUAAACCUGAGUCAUCUCGGCGUGGCCCUCCUGCCCCC